CCUACGGGAUGCUGCAGUGAGGAAUAUUGGUCAAUGGGCUUACGCCUGAACCAGCCAAGUCGCGUGAGGGAAGACUGCCCUAUGGGUUGUAAACCUCUUUUGUCAGGGAGCAAUUGGCGCUACGUGUAGCGUUAGCGAGAGUACCUGAAGAAAAAGCAUCGGCUAACUCCGUGCCAGCAGCCGCGGUAAUACGGAGGAUGCAAGCGUUAUCCGGAUUUAUUGGGUUUAAAGGGUGCGUAGGCGGAAUGCCAAGUCAGCGGUAAAAUCGCGGGGCUCAACCGUAGUAAGCCUUUGAAACUGGGAAACUUGAGUGCAGGAGAGGAGAGUGGAAUUCCUAGUGGAGCGGUGAAAUGCGUAGAUAUUAGGAGGAACACCAGUUGCGAAGGCGGCUCUCUGGACUGUAACUGACACUGAGGCACGAAAGCGUGGGGAGCAAACAGGAUUAGAUACCCUGGUAGUC
rnacentral:rRNA from 1 species